GACGAACGCUGGCGGCGUGCUUAACACAUGCAAGUCGAACGGAGAGGCCCCUUUGGGGGUACUCGAGUGGCGAACGGGUGAGUAACACGUGAGUAACCUGCCCUUGACUUCGGGAUAACUUCAGGAAACUGGGGCUAAUACCGGAUAGGAAUCCUUGCUGCAUGGUGGGGGUUGGAAAGCUUCGGCGGUUUUGGAAGGACUCGCGGCUUAUCAGCUUGUUGGUGGGGUAGUGGCUUACCAAGGCUUUGACGGGUAGCCGGCCUGAGAGGGCGACCGGCCACAUUGGGACUGAGAUACGGCCCAGACUCCUACGGGAGGCAGCAGUGGGGAAUAUUGCACAAUGGGCGGAAGCCUGAUGCAGCAACGCCGCGUGCGGGAUGACGGCCUUCGGGUUGUAAACCGCUUUCAGCAGGGGCGAAGCUUGUGGUGACGGUACCUGCAGAAGAAGCACCGGCUAACUACGUG
rnacentral:rRNA from 1 species